rnacentral:rRNA from 1 species
CACGUAGGGCGCGAGCGUUGUCCGGAAUUAUUGGGCGUAAAGAGCUCGUAGGCGGCCUGUUGCGUCCGCUGUGAAAGCCCGGGGCUUAACCCCGGGUCUGCAGUGGAUACGGGCGGACUCGAGUUCGGCAGGGGAGACUGGAAUUCCUGGUGUAGCGGUGAAAUGCGCAGAUAUCAGGAGGAACACCGGUGGCGAAGGCGGGUCUCUGGGCCGAUACUGACGCUGAGGAGCGAAAGCGUGGGGAGCGAACAGG